rnacentral:rRNA from 1 species
GAAAGCGACGUUCAACCGCAAAAGAAGCAGAGGGGGCUUAGUGGUGGGGUGACUGCGUACCUUUUGUAUAAUGGGUCAGCGACUUAUAUUCUGUAGCAAGGUUAACCGAAUAGGGGAGCCGGAGGGAAACCGAGUCUUAACCGGGCGUUAAGUUGCAGGGUAUAGACCCGAAACCCGGUGAUCUAGCCAUGGGCAGGUUGAAGGUUGGGUAACACUAACUGGAGGACCGAACCGACUAAUGUUGAAAAAUUAGCGGAUGACCUGUGGCUGGGGGUGAAAGGCCAAUCAAACCGGGAGAUAGCUGGUUCUCCCCGAAAGCUAUUUAGGUAGCGCCUCGUGAAUUCAUCUCCGGGGGUAGAGCACUGUUUCGGCUAGGGGGCCAUCCCGGCUUACCAACCCGAUGCAAACUGCGAAUACCGGAGAAUGUUAUCACGGGAGACACACGGCGGGUGCUAACGUCCGUCGUGAAGAGGGAAACAACCCAGACCGCCAGCUAAGGUCCCAAAGUCAUGGUUAAGUGGGAAACGAUGUGGGAAGGCCCAGACAGCCAGGAUGUUGGCUUAGAAGCAGCCAUCAUUUAAAGAAAGCGUAAUAGCUCACUGGUCGAGUCGGCCUGCGCGGAAGAUGUAACGGGGCUAAACCAUGCACCGAAGCUGCGGCAGCGACGCUUAUGCGUUGUUGGGUAGGGGAGCGUUCUGUAAGCCUGUGAAGGUGGCCUGUGAGGGUUGCUGGAGGUAUCAGAAGUGCGAAUGCUGACAUAAGUAACGAUAAAGCGG